CCUGCAUGUAAUCACUCAGGAGGUCCUCCUGAGCGGUGUUUGACGUACCGGGAAAAUCUUAUCUGAUUCUAAAUCAAUUCAUCGGUUACACUCCCCUGUCACCAGUGAUCCUUUUUUGCUGACAUUCUGAAAAAGUAUUGUGUAGUCCCUGUGGCAAGAACAUUAAAUAUAAAGGGGAAACUAUAAACAGAAGAAAUUAUCAACAAAAUAAGAUUUACAGAGGUCAACAAAGCCUAAAUGGUCAGACAUCUUGAUUUUCAUGGUCAUCAUUCACAGAUCAAUACUGAACAGAAAACUUAAAGCUGAUAUUUUUCUCCAUAGUGCGACUUUUUUUAUUAACUUGAAAUGGAACGUGUUUUUUCCUACAUUUAUUUGAAAGAGGAAAUUUCAACAUGAUGACUAUAAACAAAAAGGAGUCAUAUCAUCACGAGCAUUGAUGCACAAGAACUUGAUCAUAAAGAUACAACAAUGUAAAUAUCAAUUGAAAGA